GGGGUUGUGGCUCAGGAGUAGAGUACUCACCUAGCAUGUGUGAGGCCCUGGGUUCGAUCCUCAGCACCA
rnacentral:tRNA from 1 species